UGAGAAUGGCGAGCAGUGAACUUGCUGCCUGGGAAAGAACAGAGGCUGAGGCAGUGUCCGGUUCACAGCGUCCGCAGAGGUGGGCAGCAAGGCCAGGGUCAGGAAUCCAUGGGCAGCAAUUCCUGUUUGCUAGGCUUUGUCCUGGGCUCCUGGUGAGAGAGAUAGAGACGACCCUGCCCAGUCUGUGAGAUGCUCAGAGUCAAGUGCAUAGCUCGGACACAGAAGGGAAAACUUCCAUGCAGCGAGGAGCCUGCUGCAAUGGAGGUAAUGAAGCCAGGUGUGCUGCACAAGGAAGGCGAGCUACUGAGCACCAACAUGGAGCAAGCCCAGGACGGCCUGCCUGAGCAGAGCACAGGCGAAAACUUCAUCUGACUCAGGACUCUGCUCUGGGGCAGAACAAUGCCAGAGGAGGAAGCGAAUCAAUAGGAGACCGGAACAAAGAUGGCAGUAGCAGCAUCGGUGCAGCCCAGAAGGGCCCCGGGAUCACCCGUCUACACUUCCUGUGCAAAGAUGGAGCCAAAGACUCGAGCUGCCUGGCUUCUUCCCAACUACCUUUCCCCUCAGCCUGUUUCUUCAGAUUUUCUGCCUGUUUCCUGUCAAUCCCACAGCAUCUUUCUAAUUAAAUCCUUUCCUG
ensembl:lincRNA uncharacterized LOC102027571